AUGCGCGUCGGUGCCUUCCCCGCGCUCCUCUCGAAUCCAGCGCCCGCCCCACCUCCCGCCUCCCCCGAGCCCCCCUCCCCCUCCGGCCCCCUCCCCUGUUCUGCCCCCGGCAGCCGGCCCGGCCAAGAACACCUGCCUCACUGCCUGCCUCCUCCACGCCGCCCUCCGCCCGGGCGGCUGGCACCUCCCUGCCCUCCGGGCCCCUUCGCGGAGGUCCCCGCCAGCGCCCCCAGGGAGGUGUGUGCUGGGGAGGGGGUGUUUCUCACCACCUCUACUGUCAACGCCCCUGGGAACGGAGCAGAGGGUGGCACCUCCCUCCAGAACGCCUGGCGCGCGAGCCUCACACUCACCUGCCACCGCCGCCGCCGCGUCUCGCCAGCGCGCGGAACCCGACGCGCGUGGGUCCCGGGGGCGCGGAGACCCAAACGUACAGCUGCGAGGUGCGUGACUGCUUACAGAAUAGAUGAAACUGAUGCCUUAGGGGUCAGACGUGUGGUGGAGACGCAGCUGGAUGGACAUCAGAAGAGAAGGGCUCCCUUCGUCCAUUGCCGCUGCCAGUGCCCGCAAGGCUGGCUCAGACCAGGGAGUCCUGUGCAGUCUGCUCUCCUCCUCCGAAUGGGUCAGAAGUUAGAAGUUACAGGAAAAACGUUUCAGAGCAAAAGCCACACCCUGCCCAGAGAAAAACAAUUCCUGUCCACUGCUCAGCUCAGCAGCAAAACUGAAACUAGUGACUCGAAUUUCAAAUCACUACGAGGCUCUGACCUAAUGACUGGUGAUUGA
rnacentral:lncRNA from 1 species